rnacentral:rRNA from 1 species
GACGAACGCUGGCGGCGUGCUUAACACAUGCAAGUCGAACGGUGAAGCGCCUUCCUUUUUGGUGGGUGUGGAUGAGUGGCGAACGGGUGAGUAACACGUGAGUAACCUGCCCCCUUCUUCUGGAUAACCGCAUGAAAGUGUGGCUAAUACGGGAUAUUCUGGGUCUGUCGCAUGAUGGGUCUGGGACAGAUAUUGUUUCGGUGGGGGAUGGGCUCGCGGCCUAUCAGCUUGUUGGUGGGGUGAUGGCCUACCAAGGCGGUGACGGGUAGCCGGCCUGAGAGGGUGGACGGUCACACUGGGACUGAGACACGGCCCGGACUCCUACGGGAGGCAGCAGUGGGGAAUAGUGCACAAUGGGCGCAAGCCUGAUGCAGCGACGCCGCGUGAGGGAUGGAGGCCUGCGGGUUGUGAACCUCUUUCGCCAGUGAAGCAGGCCUGCCUCGUUUGUGGGUGGGUUGACGGUAGCUGGAUAAGAAGCGCCGGCUAACUACGUG